CAAAUCCUUCAAAAAUUCCUCAAACUCCUUGAAUCUUAGAUCUAGAAAACUUUUCCGUCACUUUUUUGCCCAAAUUAUUGAAGCUCCGACCAUUACCACCCCACAAUACCUACAUCAAUGGAUAGAGAUCCUCAAGAUAUGCCAAUUUCACCCUGAAAAUCCGGCGACCAAAAUCCGGCCAAAUUCCGGCGACCUCCCUAAACACCCUCUUUUGGCAUACCACUAUUUUUUGGCCACUUGAAUUAUAAAAUGAUUUUGAACAGUGUUUAGCACACAAUGUAAGUUUUUGUCGGACACACAUUUGGUGAACCAAAAUCUGUCCAAAUUUGCCUCUUUAAGGGCUACCCUUUCCUCACUUUGGGGCACUCCAUCACACUUCCAGGGGCAUUUUUUAUAAUUGCUUUGUCACAAAAACAAAAAAAAAAUUAGCAGUUGAACACAUGAAAAGUAAGCUGAAAUGGUGAGAUUUGGGAGUGAAUCUUAGAGUGCAAACUUUUAGAAGAGUAUAAGUCCUCUUUAGAGUUCGUUUCUGGGUUCCCUCUCUAAGUUUUCGGGUUGUUUUAACACGGAUUUGCUGUUGGUUUUGCUGCUGUUUUUAUACUGCUUUAGUUGCUGAACUACUGUUUAUUCUUUUGCUACCAAAUAAUCCUUUAAGACUCGUAAUGUACGUAUUUUCAGCAAUGGGAACAACUUGAACAUGCUGCACCAUUUAAAUGUGUUUGAUGUGAUGAAUAGUUUGACAACAAAAGAGCUUGUAUGUUAUUGUUAUGUAUCAAGCAUGUGAUAAUGUGAAUAUAGUCCUUCAUAAUACUUGAAUAUUGAGUUGUAAGUUUUUGAAUGUGAUAUGUAAGUCGUUUAUGAA